GAUGAACGCUGGCGGCGUGCCUAAUACAUGCAAGUCGAGCGAACGGACGAGAAGCUUGCUUCUCUGAUGUUAGCGGCGGACGGGUGAGUAACACGUGGAUAACCUACCUAUAAGACUGGGAUAACUUCGGGAAACCAGAGCUAAUACCGGAUAAUAUUUUGAACCGCAUGGUUCAAAAGUAAAAGACGGUCUUGCUGUCACUUAUAGAUGGAUCCGCGCUGCAUUAGCUAGUUGGUAAGGUAACGGCUUACCAAGGCAACGAUGCAUAGCCGACCUGAGAGGGUGAUCGGCCACACUGGAACUGAGACACGGUCCAGACUCCUACGGGAGGCAGCAGUAGGGAAUCUUCCGCAAUGGGCGAAAGCCUGACGGAGCAACGCCGCGUGAGUGAUGAAGGUCUUCGGAUCGUAAAACUCUGUUAUUAGGGAAGAACAUAUGUGUAAGUAACUGUGCACAUCUUGACGGUACCUAAUCAGAAAGCCACGGCUAACUACGUG
rnacentral:rRNA from 1 species